CCGGAUGCUCCANUUGGAUGCAUGUCCUUCUGGGAAAGAUUCUAUCGGUAUGGGAUGGGGUCGCGUCCUAUCAGGUAGUCGGCGGGGUAACGGCCCACCGAGCCUACGACGGGUAGCCGGCCUGAGAGGGCGACCGGCCACAUUGGGACUGAGAUACGGCCCAGACUCCUACGGGAGGCAGCAGUGGGGAAUAUUGCACAAUGGGCGCAAGCCUGAUGCAGCGACGCCGCGUGCGGGAUGACGGCCUUCGGGUUGUAAACCGCUUUUGACUGGGAGCAAGCCCUUCGGGGUGAGUGUACCUUUCGAAUAAGCACCGGCUAACUACGUGCCAGCAGCCGCGGUAAUACGUAGGGUGCAAGCGUUAUCCGGAAUUAUUGGGCGUAAAGGGCUCGUAGGCGGUUCGUCGCGUCCGGUGUGAAAGUCCAUCGCUUAACGGUGGAUCCGCGCCGGGUACGGGCGGGCUUGAGUGCGGUAGGGGAGACUGGAAUUCCCGGUGU
rnacentral:rRNA from 1 species